rnacentral:lncRNA from 1 species
UUUCCCACUUACCCUUAAUCUGAUUGACAACAAGGGCCGAAUCACCAUAAACAUCAAGAUGCUUGAUCCUCAUACUCAGCCAUAUUAUUCGUGCAUUUGAAAUUUAACCUUGCUGUAAACGGAAAAUGUGUGCCCUGAGGAGUAAUAAUCACUGCCCCAAUACCAUUUCCAUAUUGAUUUAUAACAUCAUCAAACACCAUGCUCCAUCGGGAACCAGGCUCUGGCCCUUCAUCAAGCGUAGGCUCAUCACAAUCUUUCAUUUUC